CUGAGACUGACUAAAGACUGAAGUCAGACUGAACUCUCUCCAGUGUUUUGAAUUUGGACUGCAGGAAUAAUUUUAACCACUAGAUGUCAGUGUUCCACAUUUCUAACACUGGACAGUGUCCAUUGUCCUCCACAGAUUGAAGAUCACAAAGACUGAAGACACUGAAGAUUCAACAGGUUUGAGUCCAUGAAGCAGCUUCAGUCUGUCUUCAGUCUUCAGUCUUUAGUCAGUCUUUAGUCUUGGCUGCAGAUGACAUGAGCAGAGAAUGAACACGUAUUUACUUUAAUGACAGCAGCUUCAUGUUUCAGGUCAGUCUUCUAUGUUGUCCUUAAACAGGACAACGUCCUCUGUCUGUCCCAACAGCGGACGCUGAUACAAAGCACACAUAACAUGGAUGUGUCACGGUGCAGGACUCUGCAUCCAGACCAUGGACCAGAGGAGGAGAAGGAAACAGCUUGCAUUGAGACAGUGGUCUGAUAUCUAUCGAACGUCCCUGGCUGUCCAUAAGUGAUGCUAGAGGUGUACAGAGUCUCCAGAGUCUUUUUGAAGCGUAAGGCUGCUGACCAAGCUGCAGUUUUUGACGAGUUGGGAAUGAGAACACAUUGGUGUUUCAGGUGCAGAACUAGGAAGAGUUCAAGGGACAUGCCACGCAGUACAUCAGAGAACAACAAACACAGCAACACACCAAGACACAGUCCAAAGAGGGUGACCUCGACGACCGUCGUCCACACCUGACCUCAGGUGACCUUAGCGACUGGCAGUGAUUGGACGGCAGAUCCUGAAGAAACAGGCCAAUCACAGGAGUGGAUGAAGGAUGUAGUUGUGCUGUAUGUU